UGUUGGUGAAUGUUCAACAGAUGUUCGUUCUUCUUCUGUAUAAGGACCUGAAGAUAUCACAAGUCAAAUCACACUGUGCACAGUUUGUUUCAGUGUCUUUCUAUAUUUGCAUCUGUUGAUGAAUAAUAAAUCACACACAUUGGGGGUAGCAGGAUUUAGGAAAGUUUUAACAAAUAGGAUUCAAACCUAAGCCUCCAAGAACCCAGAAUAAGAGAAUAGCAAAAGAUCAGAAAGGUUAAAGCAAAGAAUUCCUUUCAUUUCAUCAAAAUCAAAUCAAAAAUGUGCUAAAUAAGGUGAAACGUUUCAAGCUUAAACAAGGAGGCUAUAACCGUAACUUAGAAUGAACUCCACUUUGGGUGACCAAGUGACACUCAACAACUGGGUGAGACUUAUUGUAAUAAAAACGUAAACUAAAUGUUGCCUGAUGUUCAAGUGUUCUAGUAAGUAUUUUGGCAACACUGUGAGAUAAUUCAAUCUAUACUCAAAACAGAGCAAGGAGUAUCCAGAACCAUGACGGCGACAGUUCACUCAGCUGGUGCUAACCGACCUUUGACACAGGAACCCCUCUAUUCUUUGAUCCAGUAGGUCGCAGUGUGAUGGCUGACUGAAGGACGAGCAGCACAUGAGAUGUUUGGUUGAACCUUAUUUGUGAAAAAACACUUUUUAUUUUAUUUUGCAUUGCAGAAAUGGUUUUCAUGCUUUGCGCCCUACAUGUGUUGAUGUUUAAAGAUAUAUUAAAGAGAUGUGGUUUGUAUUUUCAGAUGUAUUAUCUGUUAUUAUUUAGUGACAGUUAAACCCACAUGUUCCAUCUGCUGUGUGUAUUUACGUGAGUUUGAAACUGUGGUCAACCACCACCUUGAUGCUGCAGCUUUACUUUCAUUUGAAGCACGCUGGCCGAGUCCAAAUAAAAAAAUGAGUCUGACACUUUAAGUCUAAUGUGGUUGUAAAUGUCAUACAUGAGAAGACAGAAAAUAACUGUGCCAUUAAAGAAGUGUACUGGU